UUUUUUUAAUUUUAAUUUUUUUAUUAUUUUAAACAAUAUACUUUCCAGUAUUCAAAUAAUUGUUUUGUACACUACUUUGUAAUGUUUUUCACUGAAAACGUAGCAUUAAGGUGUUUUUCCGGAAUUGGCCGAGUAUUACCGGAAUGCCAUGUGAUAACGUUACGGAAAGGCAUGUGAUAACAAUCGAAGCAUGUGAUAAACUUUUCAUAUCAGCCCGCUAAGCACCAAUUUCAUAAAAAUAUGGAAUUUACGUCAAUUUAAUGCUAUUAUCAUACUGUAAAAUUUAUAUGUUAUUUAGUCUAAGUAUAUGAUAA
rnacentral:lncRNA from 1 species